GGUUCAGGUUCUCGUUGCUGCACAAGUAGCCAUCAAAAAGCUCGCUAAGCGGAUUAGUAUCAGUCCUGAUCUUGCCGCUGCUUACCUAGUUUACUUGCACUGUAAAUGUAAUGCUUGUUACACUGACCAACCUUGUCAAAACGUCGGUUGUGGACACUUCAUUUGUGAUGGCUGCUUCCAAGGUAU